UACGUAGGGGGCAAGCGUUGUCCGGAUUUAUUGGGCGUAAAGAGCGUGUAGGCGGCUGCUCAAGUCGAAUGUGAAAACUCGAGGCUCAACCUCGAGCCUGCAUUCGAUACUGGGCGGCUAGAGUCUGGUAGGGGGAUCUGGAAUUCCUGGUGUAGCGGUGGAAUGCGCAGAUAUCAGGAGGAACACCGGUGGCGAAGGCGGGAUCCUGGGCCAGUACUGACGCUGAGGAGCGAAAGCGUGGGGAGCAAACAGG
rnacentral:rRNA from 1 species